AUUGAACGCUGGCGGCAGGCCUAACACAUGCAAGUCGAGCGGAUGAAGGGAGCUUGCUCCUGGAUUCAGCGGCGGACGGGUGAGUAAUGCCUAGGAAUCUGCCUGGUAGUGGGGGAUAACGUCCGGAAACGGGCGCUAAUACCGCAUACGUCCUGAGGGAGAAAGUGGGGGAUCUUCGGACCUCACGCUAUCAGAUGAGCCUAGGUCGGAUUAGCUAGUUGGUGGGGUAAAGGCCUACCAAGGCGACGAUCCGUAACUGGUCUGAGAGGAUGAUCAGUCACACUGGAACUGAGACACGGUCCAGACUCCUACGGGAGGCAGCAGUGGGGAAUAUUGGACAAUGGGCGAAAGCCUGAUCCAGCCAUGCCGCGUGUGGGAAGAAGGUCUUCGGAUUGUAAAGCACUUUAAGUUGGGAGGAAGGGAAGUAAGUUAAUACCUUGCUGUUUUGACGUUACCAACAGAAUAAGCACCGGCUAACUUCGUG
rnacentral:rRNA from 1 species